UACGGGGGGUGCAAGCGUUAUUCGGAAUCAUUGGGCGUAAAGGGCGCGUAGGCGGCCUGGUGAGUCAGAUGUGAAAUCCCGGGGCUCAACCCCGGAAGUGCAUUUGAUACUGCUAGGCUUGAGUAUGGGAGAGGGAAGUGGAAUUCCUGGUGUAGAGGUGAAAUUCGUAGGUAUCAGGAGGAACACCGGUGGCGAAGGCGACUUCCUGGACCAAUACUGACGCUGAGGCGCGAAGGCGUGGGGAGCAAACAGG
rnacentral:rRNA from 1 species